CCGGGGGUAGCUCAGUAGCCAGAGCAGCGGUCUGAUAUGCCGCCGAGCGGAGGUGCGAGUCCUCCUCCCCGGACCA
rnacentral:tRNA from 1 species